AACGCACCUUGCGCUCCUUGGUAUUCCGAGGAGCAUGCCUGUUUGAGUGUCAUUAAAUUCUCAACCCUUUCAGCUUUUACGAGCUGGAUUGGCUUGGAUGUGGGGGUUUGCGGGCUUCUCAGAAGUCGGCUCCUCUUAAAUGCAUUAGCGGAACCUUUGUGGACCAGCUUUGGUGUGAUAAUUAUCUACGCCAUGGCUGUGAAGCAGCUUUACAUGGGGUUCAGCUUCUAACCGUCCAUUGACUUGGACAACUUCUGACAUUUUGACCUCAAAUCAGGUAGGACUACCCGCUGAACUUAA
rnacentral:misc_RNA from 1 species